UAUAUAUAUAUAUAAAUGAGAUGUGAUUUGGGCUAGGUGGCAUUGGAUUUGGGACAUUUUUGCUGAUGUGGCAACUUAUAUUUUUGAGUUUAGGAGGGAAUUCUCAAAUGACUUCAUCAUUCACGAUUUUAACAAAAAAGUGGCGGGAUCCGGCUGUGAUUCGGGUCACCAAAUAUUAAAAAACGGAUCCUAUAUAUCAUCUUUACCAGACCACCAUAUCUCAUAACCUCACUUUUCACAAACCCUACAUACCAUUUCCUAAAUCUGCUUCUUCGUUUUUCAGAGAUUCAUCGUCCUUAGAUGAGAUUCAUAAGGACGACAGUGUUUUGAUGCUUUCUUCAUCUUCAUGUAAAUGCUAUUUGUUUCAUGUUUCCAGAUUUGAAGAGAUCGAUUUGUUUGCUGUUUAAUAAUGAUUUACGAUGUGUUUUGUCAUAUCUAGGGUUUGCUUGUGGUCUUUCGUAUCCGUCAAAACCCUAAUCGACCGGAGAAAUCGUCAAAAGUUCUUCACAAUAUGAUCGUUCCACAUAAUUUGCAGGUGAAGAGCUUCUUUCAGACUCCUUCCCCUACAAGGAACUAUUGAAUGGGUUCCUAUGAGAAGUUGAAGAAAAUGUAU